rnacentral:rRNA from 1 species
AGAGUUUGAUCCUGGCUCAGAGCGAACGCUGGCGGCAGGCCUAACACAUGCAAGUCGAGCGCCGUAGCAAUACGGAGCGGCAGACGGGAGAGUAACACGUGGGAACGUACCCUUCAGCUCGGAACAACACAGGGAAACUUGUGCUAAUACCGGAUAAGCCCUUACGGGGAAAGAUUUAUCGCCGAAAGAUUGGCCCGCGUCUGAUUAGCUAGUUGGUGAGGUAACGGCUCACCAAGGCGACGAUCAGUAGCUGGUCUGAGAGGAUGAUCAGCCACAUUGGGACUGAGACACGGCCCAAACUCCUACGGGAGGCAGCAGUGGGGAAUAUUGGACAAUGGGCGCAAGCCUGAUCCAGCCAUGCCGCGUGAGUGAUGAAGGCCCUAGGGUUGUAAAGCUCUUUUGUGCGGGAAGAUAAUGACGGUACCGCAAGAAUAAGCCC